rnacentral:piRNA from 1 species
UUGUACACAAACAUGUUAGGC